rnacentral:rRNA from 1 species
CCCUUAGAUGUUCUGGGCAGCACGCGCGCUACAAUGGUCUUCGCAAACGGAUGCAUUCUCGAAGGAGAAUGCCAAUCUUGGAAUCUAUGCCUUGGUCGGGACAGUUGCUUGCAAUUUUUCGACUCGAACCAGGAAUUCCUUGUAAUCGUGAUUCAUCACAUCACGAUGAAUACGUCCCUGCCCUUUGUACACACCGCCCGUCGCUCCUACCGAUUGAGUGCUACGGUGAAUAAUUCGGACUGCAGCAGCGUUCGGUUCCUGAACGUUGCAGUGGAAAGUUUGGUGAACCUUAUCACUUAGAGGAAGGAGAAGUCGUAACA